rnacentral:rRNA from 1 species
ACGAACGCUGGCGGCGUGCUUAACACAUGCAAGUCGAACGGAAAGGCCCUGCUUUUGUGGGGUGCUCGAGUGGCGAACGGGUGAGUAACACGUGAGUAACCUGCCCUUGACUUUGGGAUAACUUCAGGAAACUGGGGCUAAUACCGGAUAGGAGCUCCUGCUGCAUGGUGGGGGUUGGAAAGUGUCGGCGGUUGGGGAUGGACUCGCGGCUUAUCAGCUUGUUGGUGGGGUAGUGGCUUACCAAGGCUUUGACGGGUAGCCGGCCUGAGAGGGUGACCGGCCACAUUGGGACUGAGACACGGGCCAGAAUCCUACGGGAGGCAGCAGUGGGGAAUAUUGCACAAUGGGCGGAAGCCUGAUGCAGCAACGCCGCGUGCGGGAUGACGGCCUUCGGGUUGUAAACCGCUUUCGCCUGUGACGAAGCGUGAGUGACGGUAAUGGGUAAAGAAGCACCGGCUAACUACGUG